UGAGAGGGGUGAGAGAUGGUACAUGUUUCUGGACUGUGAUGGAGGCAGGGCCAUCAGCUGACACAUCCCGUCAUCUGGGACGCAGAAGAGGAUGUGUUUUACUAGUGUGAGUUCCAGCUCAUUCCCAGCAUAACGCAGGAACUCAGUGACUGGGGAGUGAAGGAGACAUGAAUUUGUGUUUCACAUGACUCAAAGUCAGCAUAUUUUUUAAGACUAAAUAUUUAAAUCUCAGUAUUCAGUGUUUUCACAUUUCUCUCUACUUCCGUAAAAUCUAAACAUUAAUGAACAUUUUUAACGUUUGAUUUGGAGAAGCUAGGAACUGAGCAAACCCCACUAGCCCUUUUUGAGCCCUUGGUCUGUUUUAGUAACUUCAGCUAGCUUGCCUCUCUCAGAAUUACAUUUUGUCCUUGUCUGUCCUUUCAUGCUUUUGCCUGUCACAUACCAGCUUUAUGUGAAGCCAGCUGUACUAAGGACAUAUUCCUGUGGUCAAUGUUCCCAUUAUCAGAUUUUGUCAGAAGAGCUCUGCUGGUUCAAAAGCAAAGAAGAAAUUUGGCUUGAUCAGGAUACCCACGUGCUGCGUAUAAAACACCCAGAGACUCUUCGGCUGUAUUCCUACCUGGUUUGGGCUGACAGAAGCAGGAAGCUACUGUACCACACCACCAGAGCUCCAGUCUCAUUUUGUGUAAGGCAUCUUUCUCUAACUGCAAUAAUGCCAAAGCAAAAUAACAUUAUAGGGAUGAGCUGCUGUGUUCAGCAUCUUGGCUGACUAGGGGUCUUGUUUGUUCCGGUUCAGCUACUUGUGGUAACAACAUCCUAACAACAUCUUCAUCCUAAGAUUCUCAGACUUCAGAGCUUGAUGAAGGAAGUUUGUUUAUCAUCCCUAGUUGCCUAAUGCAUAAAACAGUACUUUUUCUAAUCUUCAUUCCCUUCUUCCCCUGCUGAUUCCCUCUAGGCUGAUACUUGCCAUCCUUCAGCCUGCCUGUGUUCUCUGUCACUGCCAGUUCUGGGCUGAAUACAGCCCAUGCGUUUUUCAGAGCAAGAGGGACAUUUUCAGUGGGUCAAAUUAACAAUAGACCAAAGCAGCAUUUUAGGUGCCUCAAUGUAUUUGACCUCCCUGUGUACAGGAUUCCCCCAGGUACAGUACUGCAUAUUGACAAAUUUCAAAACUUAACAAGAUGGCUAUUUCCAAACUGAUGAGCAUCUGUUGGGAGGUUGCCAAAGACACAAGUGACAAUUAGAUGCCUAGAUGCCUCUGAAUCUCAGGAAAAAACAGCUGCAUUAUCCGCCCUAUGGGAGCAGUGCUAGGUCCAGCUUUAUUACAGACCACAGGGACACUUGGACUAAUCAGUGCUUGGGAAAGGAAGGGAAGCCAGGCAAUGAAGUGAGUGACAAGACCAAGCCCCUCCAUCAUUAUCUUCCAUUAUUACAACCAAUUGCCCCAUGUUGAGAAUUGCCCUGCUUUUCUGCAUAGCCCCGUGCCUCAGGCAAGUUCCUUCCUAGAAAUUAGUUGUUGUCCCAUAAGUUCAAGGUUUGGAGUUUUUUUUUGUUUUCACCUUUACUGAUAAGUUAUGGCUGUGCUGUUUUAUCCUUCUCUUAGGCUUUCGCUCCUCUAACUUUUAGGUUCAUGAAGCAGCAAAGCAGGUUUGAUUUGUUUGAAAGUCAUGUGGAAAAUUGAAAAGACACCAUCACAGAAGGUCUCUCUCUCAACAGAAAUUGUCUGUCACCCUGUGCACUAUAAAACCUUUCUCAAAGAGCUAAUUUGCAUGUGUUGAUAGUUUGUUAUUUUUCUUUUAUUAUUGAAAGCAUUCUGGGUUUGCUACCCCAGUGUCUCAGGCCAAAAAUUAUUAGAGGAGCUUCCAUAUGUCAUCUAUGACUUGAGACAUUAGAGAGAACUUGAUUUCCCUCAGGAAAUAUUUUUCAGAUAAUUCUGCCUGAAGAUAGAGUGGUAUGUGGCUUCUUUGUGGUUUUUUUUCUAGAUUCUUAUAAAUACUUUCUUCCCUGGAGAAAAGAGAAUAUUUCCAAUAAAUGCUGUCUUCCCCAUAAUUGCUCUCUUCUUUUUUACACUGUCUCUUCUUCCACCUCCUGUAUGCUGCCUUUCUGUGCUGAAACUCUGCAAUGAGUCUCCUGUUUAGCCAAGCCAGCUCCUCUUACACCCACCCGUCUUCCAGAAUAUCAAGUGCUAAUUAACUGUGCCUACAAGCCGUAACACUUUCCUAAUGAACAAGCCAUGAGCUUUAUGAAAGUACCUCAAAAGACACGGAGAGAACCGCUUCCAGCUGAGCCAAACCCAGCACAUCUCCUCGUGUCAGCCAGACGGGGCGAGAGUGGCUCCAUUUAACAGCCUUUUGGAGAGUUGCCGACGCUGUGCAAUUAAAAGCAAGCCUGCAAGAAGCAAGAGCGUUGGUGCUCAGCCGUGGCAGGGGGUGAGAGCGUGCCAGGAGGAGAGGUGUUUCCCGGGAGCCUGCUGAAGCCGUGCCGGCUCCGACUUGCGACAUCAUCCUCCGACCUUGCCUGAAAAUACACCGCGUUCGAGAAAAAAACAAAACAUCUGAGGACAGAGUGAAAGGAAAGUGUUGCAGGGAAGAGAGCCAGCUCAGCAGGAAGAUGUGGAGUUGGUGUAAUUGGAGGUGCAUGGGAGUGCCUUGGGAUGAAGGAGACUUUAAACGGAGAGGAAGGAUUAGUCCUUUCCGGGUAAAGGCAAAAUGGGAGAAAUGGGUUGAUUCACUGCCUCCACACUAACAGCAAAUGAGAUGGGUCUGUAUUUCCAUCCCUUCUUUUGCAGGCAGAGUCAAAACCAAAAGAGGUCUUCAGAGCUUUUACAUUCUGCAACAUAAUAGCCAAAAAAUGGCACUGGGAAGAAAUCAUUUGUUUCCUUAUUUUUUAUGCAUUUUUGAUGAAAGGCCCCAUGCUGGAUUGUCUUUACAGUGUUAGCAUAAAUACAAGUAAUAGGAAAGAGAGAAUAGAAAUGGACUUCCAUUUGGAAAAAUUAAAAUCUUUUAAUAUAAUAACAAAUUAAAUUCUUGUUAUGAACCAUUGUGUAACAGAGAAAAAAAAGAAGGGAUGUUUGAUUUGCAGAAGUUCCUGCUUAUCAUUCAUGGCAAAUGAAGCAAAUGCAGUUUUAUUGCAUGAAGGAACAAUCUCCAACUGGCUUGAACUAUUACGCACUCCAUUUAGCCCAGAGGCUAAAUGAGACAUGCAGCAAGAAUGAACGUUAUGUAAAAUAGGCAUAGGUUGAGGGAAAGCUGCAAGAAUGAAGCUGCAUGGGGCUGAAAAAUGCUUUUCCCAAAUUUCUCCGUUUCUUCCACCUUGCUCAUAGAACAGGGCCUGGAAGAAUCCCAGAAACAGCGUCUCUCAGGCUGAGCUCGCUCUUCUGUAUGGAGAGCAGCAGCAGCAGCAGUGCCAUGCAGCAGCAAGGAGGGAAAGGGAGAGCUGGGGGGGUAUAAAGGAGCACCAGGACCCCCUCUUCGGCUGUCAGACCAGGGUCUGACUCUUUGUAGCCCCCCACUUGUUGAAAGCGCAGCCGUUCUUCCUGUGGAAAGGCGAGUUUGCAAAACACAAAGAAUGAAUGAAAAUCACUGCUUUCAGGCAUAGAGCUGUAUGUAACACAUUCCCCUCACCAGCUGAGAAUAUCCAAUAGCGUAUGCAACACAUACUUCCCUUCUGUGGUUUCAAAAUCACUUUUCCUCAGUUAAAUCCACUUUGUGAAAACAUGACAAAUAUGAAUCUUUCAUGAUUCUUCAGUGCUUCUUUGGACUUUACACUAUAGCUUUGUUCACGACACGAAGGAGAACAAGGUUAGAGCAACACUGAUUUUUCCUCUUAAUGCUCUUUUAUCUGUGAACAUAAAUGGAAGAAAAGCAAAGCAAUAAAUAGUUUUAUAGAAUAGCUUCCACCAAAGGGGUCUUUAUGCCAAAGAAUAAAAGAAAGAUGAGGUUAAGUGUGCGUGGUCACACCAAAAAGUACCCUUUGACUUUCUGGUUGAUUGGUAGGCUGUGCUGCGAAAGCCAGCAUUAAACCUGAUUUAGAAAAGAAACACACAGGGAGGAAUAUCUAGUCAGAAUAACCCUACUGCCAGCCUCAUGAUUACAUUUGUAGCCUGUAAUUUUUUUCUAAAUCAUCUUUGAGAACAAGAAAUAUACAAAAAGUAUUAUUUAAAAAAAAAGGGGGGGGGGAGCGCCCACAGAAAAACUGACAGAACAAAAACAGCAACAAAAAUAAUAAAAGUAAAUCAGGCUGAGCACAGUGCAGUGUGCCCAAAAGCCCAGGUUUUGAAAGUAAAUUAGGAUAAAAACAAAGUCUGGCUUUUUUCUUUUCAAACUGUUCUACACUCAGCCUUCUUGACUUGUACAACUUGCACUUGUGAGCACAACUAUUGCUAUUUUACAUUCUUAUUUAAGAGGGCUUUUUAUCAUAACCCAUUAAAAUUCCAAUAUUCCUG